AAUGAACGUUGGCGGCGUGGAUUAGGCAUGCAAGUCGUGCGGAAAGGCCCCGCAAGGGGUACUCGAGCGGCGAAAGGGAUAGUAAUGCGUAGAUCACCUACCCCUGGGACCCGGAUAGCUGCGGGAAACUGCAAUUAAUACGGGAUGACGUCUGCGGACCAAAGGUGUAAUUCCGCCCGGGGAUGGUCUGCGUCCUAUUAGCUUGUUGGUGAGGUAACGGCUCACCAAGGCGACGAUGGGUAGCGGGUGUGAGAGCACGACCCGCAUCACUGGGACUGAGACACUGCCCAGACACCUACGGGUGGCUGCAGUCGAGGAUCUUCGGCAAUGGGCGAAAGCCUGACCGAGCGACGCCGCGUGUGGGAUGAAGGCCCUCGGGUUGUAAACCACUGUCGGAGGGGAGGAAAUGCUGGGGGGAUCACCCCUCAGCUUGACCUAUCCUCGAAGGAAGGACGGGCUAAGUUCGUGCCAGCCGCCGCUGUAA
rnacentral:rRNA from 1 species